AUCGCUGCCGACAUGUCCACAUCCUGUGUUUAUGUUUACCAUAUUUUGUUUCCUCGGUGGGUUUGUUUACUCACCGUGUGAAAUGACCCCUUCAACCUUUUUGCAAUUUGUAGUCUACCUUCUGAUUCUAUUAAAAUUAUUUACAACUUUCAACAAUGGAUCUCUUGGUUCUGGCAUCGAUGAAGAACGCAGCGAAAUGCGAUAAGUAGUGUGAAUUGCAGAAUUCAGUGAAUCAUCGAAUCUUUGAACGCACAUUGCGCCCCUUGGUUAUUCCAUUGGGCAUGCCUGUUCGAGCGUCAUAAGUAAAUUCAAGCCCUGCUUGGUGUUGAGUGCCUGUCCUGCCUUGUGCGCGGACUCUCUCGAAAACUAUUGGCGGUCCCCACAAGGGUUCUUUGCGCAGCACAUGUAGCGCUCUAGCCCUGAUGUGGGUGGCAUCCAAGAAAAGCCUACUUCUGUUAGCUUGACCUCGGAUCAGGUAGGGAUACCCGCUGAACUUAAGCAUAUCAAUA
rnacentral:rRNA from 1 species